AACUCGCCUGCAUGAAGUUGGAAUUGCUAGUAAUCGCGGAUCAGCAUGCCGCGGUGAAUACGUUCCCGGGCCUUGUACACACCGCCCGUCACACCAUGAGAGUCGAUAACACCCGAAGCCUGUAGUCUAACCAUAAGGGGGACGCAGUCGAAGGUGGGAUUGAUAAUUAGGGUGAAGUCGUAACAAGGUACC
rnacentral:rRNA from 1 species